rnacentral:rRNA from 1 species
GAUGAACGCUGACAGAAUGCUUAACACAUGCAAGUCUUUGGCGAAGCUGUGCUUGCACAGCCUAGCCAAGGCGGACGGGUGAGUAACGCGUAAGGAACUUGCCCUGCAGUCAAGGAUAACAGACGGAAACGACUGAUAAGACCUGGUAAAGUCAGGCGGACUCAUGUCCAGCCUGAUGAAAAGAGAUGCUGCAGGAGAGCCUUGCGUCCUAUUAGCUUGUUGGUGGGGUAACGGCCCACCAAGGCGAUGAUAGGUAGCCGGCCUGAGAGGGUGGACGGCCACAAGGGGACUGAGAUACGGCCCUUACUCCUACGGGAGGCAGCAGUGGGGAAUAUUGGACAAUGGGGGCAACCCUGAUCCAGCAAUUCUGUGUGCACGAUGAAGGUUUUCGGAUUGUAAAGUGCUUUCAGCAGGGAAGAAAAAAAUGACGGUACCUGCAGAAGAAGCGACGGCUAAAUACGUG